rnacentral:rRNA from 1 species
GGGGAAUUAGGGUUCGAUUCCGGAGAGGGAGCCUGAGAAACGGCUACCACAUCUAAGGAAGGCAGCAGGCGCGCAAAUUACCCAAUCCUAAUACAGGGAGGUAGUGACAAGAAAUAACAAUACAGGACUUUUUGGUUUUGUAAUUGGAAUGAGUUAAGUAUAAACCCCUUUACAAGUAUCAAUUGGAGGGCAAGUCUGGUGCCAGCAGCCGCGGUAAUUCCCAGCUCCAAUAGCGUAUAUUAAAGUUGUUGCAGUUAAAAAGCUCGUAGUUGGAUUUCUGUUAAUAAUUUAUAUAUAAUAUUUGAUUAAUAUUUAUAUAAUAUUAACAUAAUUCAUAUUACUAAAUUUAUUAGUAUAUGAAAUUUUACUUUGAGAAAAUUAGAGUGCUUAAAGCAGGCAUAUGCCUUGAAUACUCCAGCAUGGAAUAAUAUUAAAGAUUUUUAUCUUUCUUAUUGGUUCUAAGAUAAAAAUAAUGAUUAAUAGGGACAGUUGGGGGCAUUUGUAUUUAACAGUCAGAGGUGAAAUUCUUAGAUUUGUUAAAGACAAACUAAUGCGAAAGCAUUUGCCAAGGAUGUUUUCAUUAAUCAAGAACGAAAGUUAGGGGAUCGAAGACGAUCAGAUACCG